GACUCGAUGAGCAUGAGUUUGAGCAAGCUCCAGGAGAUGGUGAAGGACAGGGAGGCCUGGCAUGCUGCAGUUCAUGGAGUGUGAAAGAGUCGGACACAACUGAGCGACUGAACUGAACUGAUAAAAGUACGGCUUGAGAAACUCAGUGCCAGUGAUUGUAUUAAGCACUUUACCUAUAUUUAUUUAAUCGUCACAACUACUCUAUGAAGUAGUUGCCAUCAUUAUUUCCAUUUUAGAUAUGAGAAAACAGGCACAGGACAAUAAAGGAAUAGAAGUAAGGGUGGAACUGGGAUUGAGAAUCAGGCCAUCUGGCUCUAACCUCUGUAAUUUUUUUUUGACAGCACCGCACAGCUUUUGGGAUCUAACCCAGGCAUCCUGCAGUGGAAGCAUGCAGUCCUAACCAGUGGACCACCAGGGAAUUCCCUACCUGGUUCUUAGACGAUCCUUGAACUCUCUUUUCUUGAGCCAGGCAGUGUAGUUACUGUUUUCCUGUUUUACAGAGGAAAAAACUGAUGCCUAGAGAGCAAAUACCUUGCUCAGGAUCAAUCACACGCAGGGGGCGCCCGCUGCCUCCCUCACGGCUCCCAGACCAAAACCAGGCCCUUGGACUGGUGGCUUGUGCAGCAGCCGGUCCAGGCCGACCUUGGGGACCACGAGAAAAGGCAACAACAAUGACAGUGUUAGCCUGUGCAAAGCCAGGGACAUGCCAAGAGUGGCUUGCCUCCCCUUGGUCCCCAAACCGGACUGCCAAGCGGCGACGCCCAGAUCUUCUGAAAGAUGUUUUAGCCCGUGAAGCAGCUCUCCUCCGUCAGAACCUUCUCCGUUAAGAGCCAGGGGUCUGAAACUUUUAAAACUUCAAAGAAAUACUGUGUCAGAGUGAAAAUCAAUAAACUGGAGCUAUAGAUAUUAACACAGAUAACACUCAAAAACGUAAUGUUGAAUGGCAAAGCAAGUUGCCAAAGGCACAGAGUUUCAUGAGGGAAAUGGGAGAGUCCAAGGCAAGAAUACUAACCCCCAUUUGCAUCCCACCUCUCCUCCUCUUUCGUGUGUGGGCACGCUGGCUCCGGUUCAGCUCCAUUUACUUCCUACCCCAUCCCUCACCAACAGCCGGUUCUUGGUCACGCUGGCCUGGGGGUACCCGCCUAGGUAGAUGGCCCACCCUCAGGAGGCUGGACCUUGGAAAGAGUCCCGCACAGGCGCUGGAGGCAGGCUCAUUGCUGUGGGGCUGAAAGUUCUGGGGUCCCCAGUACCCUGAGUGCGACCUCAAAGAGGCUCACAGGCCCCAGGUGCGCAUAUUCCCUUGAACUCCUUACCCCAUGGAAAGAAGCACAGACAGAGAAGGGUCAGAAGGAGACCCCACCUCUAAAGCUUGGGGACCAAGACUGGACUUGCUGGGUCUAAGAGCCAUACUAAAUAAAUUAACACUAUUUUUAUAUAAAGGAAAACAUGCAAAAUAAGAUGUUGCUUAUUGGUAGAUAUGGAAGUUAUAAAAGUUUUUUAAUGGAAUAAAAACGUGUGUCUGAUAUCA